GCACCACAACGGGUGGAGCUUGCGGUUUAAUUGGAUUCAACGCGAAAUCUUACCGGGACCGACAGCAAUAUGAAGGCCAGGCUGAAGACUUUGCCGGAUUAGCUGAGGGUGUGCAUGGCCGUCGUCAGUUCGUACUGUGAAGCAUCCUGUUAAGUCAGGCAACGAGCGAGACCCACGCCCACAGUUGCCAGCGUACUCUCUGGAGUGACGGGUACACUGUGGGGACCGCCGCUGCUAAAGCGGAGGAAGGAAUGGGCAACGGUAGGUCGGUAUGCCCCGAAUAUCCCGGGCUACACGCGAGCUACAAUGGUUGGUACAAUGGGUAUCUACCCCGAAAGGGGACGGGAAUCUCCUAAAACCAAUCUUAGUUCGGAUUGAGGGCUGCAACUCGCCCUCAUGAAGCUGGAAUCCGUAGUAAUCGCGUUUCAACAGAACGCGGUGAAUACGUCCCUGCUCCUU
rnacentral:rRNA from 1 species